rnacentral:lncRNA from 10 species
GAGCCCCCAUGGCCCUUGAAGAUUAAGGAAACAGGACUCCCAGGAUAAAAAGUUCCCUUUCUAACCAGACCAGCUGAGACUGGUUGAAACCAAGAUAGCUGACCGAGAAACUUCAAAAAGACCUUCAGCCUUAUUAUCAUCUCAUUUCCAUGCUCAGUGACACGCCCACAGUGCCAUGAUGGUUGGAAAUCACCAUGACGAUGACUGGAGGAAGGAAGGUCGCGCUCCGGUUCCAGGAAGCUCACUGCCCGCUCCCGGAAAAGACAUGAAUAUUCCUCCCCUUGCUUGGUGUGUCCAACCCUUUCAUGAGACAGUCAGUGUGUGUCAGCCUCCCCACCCCUCCCAGGCUGAGUGGAUUUGUGAGCCGCACUCCCACUUCUCAAUGCCAGGGCCACGGAAUGAAGCCUGCACUGCGGACACUCACUUUCGGUUUCAUGUAUUGGCUUCGUGACACCCCACAGCGAAAGACCCUCUGUUCUGGGGGAAUGACUGUGUUGGUGACAAAACCAUGCUUUCUGGAUCACUGUGGUAUUACGGCAGGGCUUGAAGUCAGAAGGAAGCCGAGUUUGAGCUAGUUCCAUUUCACCAUCAAAGGCAGGGCAUGAGGAGCGAUGGGGAGAGAAACGUGGAUGCGAAGAGGCGCCUGCCGCCUGUGUUCUCACAAAGCCACAGAGCAUGGACCUGCUCCCCCUACCCCCCAGCGCUACCCUGGCCUGGGAAUGUGGAGUGGUAAUUCCAGUCGGCAGAAAGACUCUGCUCCAUGCGGUCAUUCAGGGGCCCAGGCUGAUGGCUGCUAAGCUACCAUCAACAUGCGGUUUCCAGGGUCACCUGGGCAUCACCACCUCAGUCAACAGGAGGAUGGGAGGGGCAUGUCAGGUGCCUCCACAGGAGGUUUAGGGCCCAGCCCUGAACAUGCAUAAUUUCUUGCCCAGCACUGACAGCCCCUCUGCAGGUAGGACUGAGCUGAGACCCUCCAAAGUCAUAGUGCCAUGGAUGAUAAGGGAGGGCAGGCUCCAGAGCUGCUGUACAAGCCCAAGCCCAGGUGUCUUCUGACCAGUUGUUAAAGUUACAGAGCCCUCGUCAUGAUCCUGGGGUGGAAAGUGAUGUUCCUCCACUCUCCAUUUGUGGGUGUUGUGCAGUGACUUGGUUCACAGGCACUGUUAAUGGGGAGUGGGCAGCACAGAGAUUGGGGCAGACGGAGAUGGGAGCAGGGUCUGCCCGGUUCACUUCCAGCACAAAUCACUCCUUUGCCAAGAGUAAGUGUUAAAUCCUGACAACAAACUCUCCUGGAGACUCAUCCCUCAGAUUAAAGGCAUGGACAAGUUUUGCAGUUAAAAAAAAAAGUAAUGCAUUCACUUUGCUAAUGCACUGCUUGCAAAAAAUGAAAAAUAUAAAAACAUAGAAUACUG